GUGACAGAAGAGAGUGAGCACAGGGAUGCAUUAUUUGUAUGAAUGCAGUGCAAGUGUGUACGUGUGCUCACUUCUCUUUCUGUCAC
rnacentral:pre_miRNA from 1 species